AUCACUAAAUCAAGCUACUCAAGAAGAAACACGCAAAAACAAAAUCGAGCAUCAACCUUUAAACCAACACAACUUUCAGUAAACUUAAUCAUUUUCAAAACUAAAACCAUCAAUAAACUCAGCAUCAAGAGACCUAUCUAAAGCAUGUACUAAUUUAACAAAAUAAGGAGAUCGAAUCCUUACCAAAUUGGAAGAGCAAUCGUGAUACAGUUGCUAUUUGGUAGCUUUGACUCAAAACAGGUACACCUUAAGCUUCU
rnacentral:lncRNA from 1 species